rnacentral:lncRNA from 1 species
UGAAUCGUUUUGAGUAACCCCCCGUGCACAGUAGUGUCUGAUGAAAAUGAAAGUCAUAAAGAACUGUUAGAGCCCACAGGAAGCACAAUUCGAACACAGCGACCCCCGAAAGCUCUGAACUCCAAACUCACAAGACCCGUCCUCAGGACCCGGCUCAGAGCAAAUGUCCCCCAGUUUGGUGCCUGUAGGUUUGAAAAUAGUGUCAUUUCUUGAGACGGAUGAGGGGCUGGCUUCUCAGCCUCCCAGACAUAAAUGGGUGCACUUGUUGAUGUUGCUUGUUAAAGGUUUUCUGUCGGUGGACAUCCACAGAUCACCGGUGUUUUCCAGCUCCAACUAAAACAGAGGAAAGACAAGUAGAAUAAAAAACAGUGUUGAUGUUUUAAAGUUGGUCGAUUUCAUUAAAACAGAGCGAUAACUUUAACACAUCUGUCUGCAGUCGGCCCACUUCUUCGACACGAUGGACAUGAUGGAGCAGGUGCCAGAAGCUGCAGAGAUGAAGAGCGCUCUCCAGAGGCAGAAGGCACGUCUGUCCUGCGUCCGUCCAUCUGUUGUGUUUCAGCUGCACUUCAUCCUGUGUUUGUGUGAACUCUGGCCCAGCACGCUCCCUGCCCGGGAUCACCCAGUCUCAGCCAGCAGGCAGCUGGAAUUAGGAGCAGAACCUCCACUCUUCCUAUUGGGUACCACAUCUGGCUUGACUUUUCUCCAGUUCCUCAUAAAAGAUCUUCGCAAACCUACGUUUGUGUGUGUGCUUCAUCAUCCUCAUCGCUAUCAGUGUCUGUCUUUAAACAGUGUUUGCCUGAUCAGUGUAGUCUGGAAUAAAUAUUGAUGGUAAAGUUGGGCAGAGGUUUGUAUCCUCUCACCUGACAGUAGUCCUCGUGACACCAUGAGCUUGUCGUCUUUCAGACAUCAAACUGAGACUAAGCUCAGUUUUUCAGGAAGUGGUACAAAUCUAUUUUCAGGUCUUAAUGGUGCUGCAGAUAGUUGUGAGCAUUUGAGAAUGAUAGAAAACCCCAAAACAUUCAUUUUUAAUUGGAUUAUCAGAUUUUUUUUCUCUCAGUACCUAAAUAUUAGGACACGGGUGCAAGCUUUUGUCAUUCUGGUGACUUCUGCUUCGUCUCUUUUAGGACGACUACAUUCCUUAUCCGAGGAUCGAGGAGGUGAGAGUUCUUCAACCAACCACAGGAGGGCGGUACAGCUAACGCUGUGACUCAGCAGAAAUAUUCAGUCGGCCAUCUUUAAGCUACGUAUACACCAGGCACACGAUGCUCAUUCAACAAUGCACUUAUACACAUUUCUGAAUGUGCUUUUAGCAAACGGUAUUCACAAAGGUGUGUUGCUACACCAACGUACUCACAGUUGGAAGAGGCUUGGUGCCAAAUGUCAAGGUGGUACAGAAUCUUGUAAACCUUGCUCCAGGGAAUUUUCUUCCAAAGCUCUAUUCCGAUAUUAGAAAACAUCAUCUACAUUAGCACAUAGCAGCCACUGCUUGGAAAAUACCUGACAACAUCGGUUUAAUCAUUUUUAAAAGUCAAGCUAAAACAAUAAGUCAUGGCUUACAUUUAAAUGUAAACGUCUGUGCUUGAGAGAGAGAGCACACACACGUAAACAAAUGUGUUUCUCCUCCACGUCGAAACACCCUCCCGGCGGUAGGACACCCAGUCACCACGGCUCCUACAUAAAAAAAACAAUUUCCAACACCACUAAACCUCCAAAUGCCCCAGACGUCUGCCAGACACCUGCUGCUCUACAGCCCAUCAUCAUCAUCGAUGGAGCAGAGGUGGAGGUGGUCACCACCUACAAUAAAACCUCGGAGUCCUGCUAGACAAUAAACGGAGCAAAUAUGGACGCCAUCUUCAGAGCAGGAUGUGCUUUUUAAAAAGACUCGCCUCCAUUCUGGAAGGCUGUUGUCUGCAGGGCCCUGGACCGGAGGUGUGUCUUACCCGGUGCAGUGAGACUGUAUGACACUGCUGGGAAAAGGUGGCAAGAGGGGGGGGCUUUACACCAUGAAUGUCCAGCUGCGCUUUACUGUUUAUUUUGGGUUAUUUCUUAUAUUUCAACACUUUUUACUUAUUUAUUUAUGUAUUUACUUAUUUUUAUUUUAAAGUCUGUUUAAAUCCGCGUGAAUGAUCUAGAGCUGCAGAUUGCAACAUACAGGUAUUUCCCUUGUGAUCAAUAAAGUAUCUAUCAGUCAAUCAAUAGUGAGGAGUCAGAGCGGUUGGUGUCAUGUUAUAUACUGUGGGGCGUGGACAAACUGCCUUUAGAAACAUUUCCUCCAAUCUUCAAACGGUUGGCACUUCAGUGAAAUAAAAAGGACGCUAUCCAUAUGUCACUACCAAUUCCCAGUCCCUGAUUGGUCGAAAUUCAACUGAAGGUUUAUGGCUUGUUCGAUGGCAGUACCUUUUGUGUGUGUGUGUGAGUCCAAAAACUGACUUUCAAAAUUGUGUAGCAACGCCACACAAUGUGUUUGGAAACAUUCAUUGCAAUUGGUCGCUUGAACCUGUGUUUCUGAGCCCGGAGUCAACAUAGCAUACGAGUGAUUUUCAUAAAAAAAACAGAGAAUUCCGUAUUUCACUAUUUCUUCUUCUACAGCCGUUUCCGGUAUUUUGGAGAGUUCGUCACACAGAAUGAUUUAUUCAGACUGAAAGUGUGGCGUAUGUAAACGUUUGUUAUAAUCGGAAAAGGUUUUUCUGGGCCCACGUGCACAGUUCAGUUCUGAUCCGAUCAAAGACAUUUUGGUUAUGUAACUGCAGCUGCUGACAGUUAUCUGCUGAUGACGACAGAAACCAAAAACACUUUGAAGAUAAAGUGCAAACACAAAGACACAAGCUUAUGGAGAACAAAAAAACAU